rnacentral:rRNA from 1 species
AUUGAACGCUGGCGGCAUGCCUUACACAUGCAAGUCGAACGGCAGCACGGGUGCUUGCACCUGGUGGCGAGUGGCGAACGGGUGAGUAAUACAUCGGGACGUACCUUAUCGUGGGGGAUAACGCAGCGAAAGUUGCGCUAGUACCGCAUACGCCCUGAGGGGGAAAGCGGGGGACCGUAAGGCCUCGCGCGAUUAGAGCGGCCGAUGUCUGAUUAGCUUGUUAGUGAGGUAAAAGCUCACCAAGGCGAUGAUCAGUAGCUGGUCUGAGAGGACGAUCAGCCACACUGGGACUGGGACACGGCCCAGACUCCUACGGGAGGCAGCAGUGGGGAAUUUUGGACAAUGGGGGCAACCCUGAUCCAGCAAUGCCGCGUGAGUGAAGAAGGCCUUCGGGUUGUAAAGCUCUUUUGUCAGGGAAGAAACAGCAGCUCUAACACAGUCUGCGAAUGACGGUACCUGAAGAAUAAGCACCGGCUAACUACGUGCCAGCCGCCGCGGUAA